UACGGGGGGGGCGAGCGUUGUUCGGAGUUACUGGGCGUAAAGGGCGCGUAGGCGGCGAUCCAAGUUAGGCGUGAAAUCCCAGGGCUCAACCCUGGAACUGCAUUUGAUACUGGCAGGCUUGAGUGUGGUAGAGGAUAGUGGAAUUCCCGGUGUAGCGGUGAAAUGCGUAGAUAUCGGGAGGAACAUCAGUGGCGAAGGCGGCUAUCUGGACUAACACUGACACUGAGACUCGAAA
rnacentral:rRNA from 1 species